UUAGCUUUUAACGUAUGAAUACGAGUUCAAAAUCGAAAGACUUGUUUCGUUCAGCAGAGUUAUCCAAUCUUGGAUUCCAUCGCCGUUCAAUCACUUAGAUACUAGUAUCUCAGCCGCACGAUGCAGAUGACUUCACAAGAUGUCAGCAUUAUACACGUCUGUUUAUAUUAUAGGCUUUUAUCGGAUCAAACAGACUCAGCUUUUUAAUAGCGUACGGUGGUGCAUCAGUUCUUCUUAUAGCCCCCCAAUAUUCUCCUGGGGAUUGGUGGAAAAACCCCCCUCAGCUCUGCUAUAAAUACUCUCUCUCCUUUUCCCAUCUGCUCAACCCCUCUCUCUCUCUCUCUCCCUCCCUCCCUCCCUCUCCCUCUCACUCUCUCUCUCUCUCUCUUAAAAACCCUAUUAGGGUAAAUAGGUUUGGUAGGUCUACAGAUGACUCCCUUCGUAUUUUUCCACAGCUUUCUUGAACUGCAUCCGAUCCGUCGCAAUUUCGAGGUGAUUUAAAAAUUGCAGUUCAAUAAAGCUGUGGGAAGAUACGAAUCGGGUCAAAAGGGUGAUCGGAUUGGAUGCGGUUGCUUCUUCUUCCACAUGGAGAGCACUGACAAGAGAGGGUAAUUAAUUAAUUUUCAAUUGUCCUAAGCACCGCCAUAGGAUGGCCCAACUCUUUUUGCUGUCAUACUUUCACUUGAGACGCCACGUGGUGGUGCCUAAGAGCAUAAAGUGUUCUUUCUACAGAAGAAGCUGAAAUUUGAUAUGACUGCGCUUAUGUAUGAAAUUGGGGAUCGAUAUCAUUCUCUCGUUGUGAUGCCCUUUCUCUCGUCCCUUUAAUCUCUGCAGGUAACUGUUACAUUUGAUUAAUAAGUUUUUCCUCUGUGCCGUUCAAAAAAGCAAGACGAUAGACGCAACGCCGAGAUGUCUUGAGAAGCUGUUGGUCCCGAUCGAUAGGGUAAAAACAGACCAUGUGUGAAAAAAUUGACCUUGAUCGACUACAUGAAACAUAUUGUUCCUGUCUUAUUAUGGUCCUGAUGAAGCAUUGAUGAGAUUCCAAUGUUUUCUUGCAUACUCUUGAUCGUACAAGGAACAAAACAUUUUCGAUGCGUAUUUAGAUAUUUCAACUGCAGAGAAGCGUGUGCAGUUUAAUUUGAAUCGUUUACAAUAACAAUUUAGGCUUUGUUUGGUUGGUAUUUUAGUUUAGUUUAGUUUUGAUAGUGGGUAGAGAGAAAAAUAGAGUAAUGAUUGAAAAGAUAAGUAAUGAUUGAAGAAAGAAAUAAAGUAAUGAUUGGAAAACUAAACUAAAUUAGUAACCAAACACAACCUUAAUGGUUCAGAUCUAUUGAUUUUUUUUACCAGUAAAAUUAUAUAUGAAAACAAAUCUUGACCAUUAAAAAUACUAUCCGACGGUUGCCAUUUCCUGCAAGAUACAAAAUAGUCAGUACCUCAAAUUAAUAAUGGUCCCUCACUCCAACAACUAAAUUAAUGCGCCAAAACUUUUUUUGAUUUCCAUCUCCACUAUCGUUUCCAUAACAUAUUUUCCAUCUACAUUAUCAUUGUCCCAUCACUGUAAUUCAUCACAUCAUGUUAAUAGGCUUUAGAGUAGAUCUUUUUUCUGGGCAACCUUGUAUCCGUUUGUGGGGUCUUCAGCUGCCAUGUGAUUGUCGAGGGUUGGAUGCCAAUCUAGUUGAGAUAUUUUUCCUCGUGAUGCCAUUUUAUUGUUGCCCCUCUUGAUUUUUGUACUCAUUCGAUCAAAGAUCAAUAAAAUCCUUCUUUUUCGCUGUUCAAAAAACACAAGUAAAAUGGGUAAGGAAGUACAAACAAAACUUUUGUAUUGUGUGUGCACGUAGAGUAUAAUCUGCAACUAAAAUGAAACCUAUGACACCCCAUCUUUUUUUUUUGUCGUACAACAGACAUUUCAGGAUUCUAUAAAGGCCUUCCGAAUUAGUUAGUCAAUUGGGCCGGAUACGAUGACAUGGAUCGAUCCUAUGUACAUUUUCUUACAAUGAUCUGGAUCGAUCCUAUGUACAUUUUCUUACAAUGAUCUGGAUCGAUCCAUAUAUGCAUCCAAUUGAACCAACGUACCCGUGUCUCCUAAUAGUCUUCCCUAAGCACAUUAUUAGAUUCACAUUAUUAUUGAUCAUAUGUUAGCUAGCUGGAAGAUUCCUAGGCCAUCCUCUGUGAUGAUCAUGUUUGCUAAUGGAAGAAAUUAACACACUAUAUAUACUGCUUACUCAUGCUUUAUGAUUUUUUUAAGUGUAACGUAUCCCGAAAUUAGGGUUGUUACUUUUUAGUAUCUGCUUUACUUUUGUUGGAGAUUAAAUUUUUUGGAAUAGCAUUGUAGGCAUAAAGUUGAACACAUGAGGUCAUUAAGUGAUUAAAACUAAUGGCUGUUGGAUUAGUACUUUUACGAUGCUACCCCUCUUCCAAGUCAAGUGUGCUUUGUCUGAUUUUUGUUGAUGGUUUUACUUUUGGAUAUAAAAGCUGCAAAAAGUUGAGGACUGUAUACCUUUGUGUUUGUUGAUUUUUGGUACAAGACAAAUGGGAUGAAAGUAAUCGAAAGUGAAAAUAGAGAGAGAGAGAGAGAGAGAGAGAGAGAGAGAGAGAGUCAAAAGGCUGAAUGGAUCAAACAACUACAAGUAUGCAUGCAUGAAUGCAUGGCAUGCUUUCCAAAUUGAAUGAAGAAAUGUAGGCAAGUGUUGGUGAUCAUAAUUUCCUGCAAUGUUCUUUUUUCUAUCUGUUGGAAAAUAAGGAAAAAAGAGAGGGGAAAAGGCCGUAAACACCGAUAUUAUUAGUUGAUUUUUUUGUUUUUGUUUUUUUGGGGUAAAAUGAGUGCAGCAGUUUUUAUUUUUUAUUUUUUAAAACUUUGUAGAGAUGAAAGAAUGAAAAGAAUUUCUGGGGAUGCCCAUGUCCCAUGUGGGGACAUAAGAUUUAAUUAUUUUUGCUACUUUUCAAAGUGGAUUGUACCAAAUGAGCUGUCUCUACUCAUAGUUAUUAAGCAUAUGGUCCCUAAUAUUGUGAAAGCUUCAAAGAUUCAACGGUCGAGAUUUUUCCUAUACCUUACAUCAAGGGGGGACACAAUUAAGCAAAUGGCCCCUCAUAUUGUGCAAACUUUAAAGGACUUUUAAUCAUAUGUCCAUGCUUGUGUGUGUGUGUGUGAGAGAGAGAGAGAGAGAGAGAGAGAGAGAGAGAGAGAGAGAGAACAUACCUGAUGGAAACAGUGGCUCAUAGGUUUUAAAUUAAUACUGGAGUACUAGCUAGUUUUUGGAGCAAUAAAUACUAAAAGAAAAAAUGCCAAAAGCAGCAAAGCAGGAGUAGAAAACCCAAAUACGAGGGAGCAAACCACCCAGCAAAUUCUCGAUCUGCAACAACCAAUUGUACUGUUAUUCUUAGAAAAUGAAGAUAUAUACAAGCACUAGUGUAGAAAUUGGCUUGCAUUCUUGAAGUACUACUAGUGUUUUGGAAGCCAAAGUCAUUAAGCAAUAUUAAUUUGGUUUUCAAAGCAAAUGAAGGAUUUCAUUUUUUUGGCACAAAAAGGAAUCCUACUUUAGCGUUAGUCUAGUGGGUAGGGAACGAGACCUUAUUAUGAGACUCUAACCGAUAUAUAGAGGGAGCAACUUACAAUUUGGGCUAUGUGCCCUUUAUUCUCAAUUUCACUUCUUUCUUGCGUGGUUGAUUGAUGGAAUUCUUAUAUAUGAGCAAUCAGAAAAAGAAAAAAAAAAACAAAAUUAUGAAUUUCCGUUUGACCGGGAAAAAAAAUCAGCAGAAACAAAAUUAUGAAAAGCGGAAAAAAAUUCACCUAGAAAUGCAAAGUAAAAAUGCGAAUUCGGGAUCUCAACUACGUACCAUCUGAUCCAAGUAAGCAGUGAAACGUGGGAAGUGACAGAAACGUUUAUGAGAAGGACAGGCAUAAUAUGCAACAAUUAAAAGAAUUCCAGAAAUUCUUAUGCAAAGGAAAAUAGCCUAGGGAAAUUAGGUUUGAAUUAUGGUGUAGAUCACCAGUUAAACAGGUUAAUUAGAAAAGGCCGGCAUUGACAGCCAGCUUUGAGUUCCCUAAUAUAUCAAUUCAACCACCAAAAAUGAAAAAUUAGGUUUGAAUUACUCAUUGUGUUGGCUUGAGUUUUUCUUUUUUCUUUUUCUUUCUUUUGAACCGCAGAGAUAAUUUUAUUAAUCUCAACCAAUAUACAAGGAGAAUAAAGGGAGACGAGGCAUCAUAGCUAAAAGAAAAAGCAUCACAUCUAUAUCGGCACCCGUACCGAGAUAAAUCCUUUCCUUAUCCUUUUCCUUUUUCUUUCUGAUGAGGGGCAUGAGGAUAAUUCCACUUGAAGGAUGGGUGAGGCUCUUGGGCCUGUGUCUGUGGGGUUAGCUCCCACGUUGGGAGUUUUGGUUUGUGUGUAUGUAUUUAAAGGGUCCAUAGUUUAACCCCAAAGGUUUGGCCUAGGAGAUUUUGAAAAAAGUAAGGAGCUCGCCCUCUAAACUCCUAGGCAUCAGCAAAUCUCUAGGCCACUGCGGGUUUGUUUAUUCGACAAUUUUGAAAUCCAUGAUAAUCGAGGUGCUCGUGAGUUAGUCUGAACAGCUCAGAUUAAAAAAAUGAAAGAGAGAAGAAAUGUACAGUAUGUGGUUUUCUGAGGGAGGGAGAGAGAAAGAGUAGUACUAGCUAGCUAGUUUCCACAUGGUGACAAAGUUUAACCUUUUUCCACAGAAAUGGAGAAGAUGAUCACACACAGUGAUGAUCACUCAAUAACAAAAAAACGAAAGGGCGUGCAAACCAGAGGAACAAUCAAUUAUUGAGGAAAAAGAGGAAAGCUGGGUGGGGAAUCUUCCCUGCAACAUAUCUCUGUUUUCACCACUUUGAUUGAUCAGUCCUCAGAAUUUGGCAAUUAAUAAACGAAAAUUCAGCACUUUUAUGGAAACAAAAAACAAAAAAAAAAAGAAAAAUAUUUCAAGCAACCUAUCUCAGUCAAAUGAACAUAUAUUUUGGGAAUCAGUUUUGAUCUUCUUUUCAGUGUUAUUAUUUGGUGAAAAAUAUGCCGCUCUAGAUAGUUUUGUAAUUUGUGCAAACCGAAGUAAAAUUAAAAAAAUUCAAAUAUAAGCGUAUUUUCUGAACUCACUUAUUGAAGGCGAAAAAAUGUAAGGAAAGUGGGGUGGGGUGCGAAAGUCAGUACACCCUCCGGGCUCCGUCUCAAUUUAAAUGCUUCCUAUGAAAAAUUGUGUAACUUUGAUCUCAAAAAAAAUCAUAUUUUUUGUAAUAUUUUCCGAACUUUUUUUGCACCGUUGGAAAGUACUUAUUGUGAUCCAUUGAAUUGAAUGGUGCAAAAAAAAAAAUUAAAAAUUAAUUUCGAAAGUACAUUAUUUUUUAGGCCAAAGUUACACGAUCUCUCAUGGAGAACAUUUAAAUUGGGACAGAGGGAGUAGUCAAUACCUAUACCAACAUGUAAGUCUUGGAUAAAUUUUCGGCAUUAUUUGCAUCAAUUUUUUGCAAAUUUAACAGAAAAUUAGUAAAAUGUAUGAAGCCCACGUCAUAAUUCUAAAUCAUAUCACAAUCGAGUCACACAAACUCUCUCAUUUGACACAACUUGCACCAAAUUCAACACAAGUUUUUUAAAAGCAUGAAACCCACAUCACAAUUCAACACCACACUCAAUUUCUGGAAAAGAAGCUGCCAUUAAUUCAUGUCUAUUAAUUUGGUGAAAUUCUAGUUGCUAAACCUUUCAAUAUGAGUUUUUUUUUUUUUUGGGUAAUGCAAGGUAUCCCGGGCCAACUUGCGCGCACUUAGCUCGGACUAUUCUCCAUAGUCGUUUCACAAGCUUAUGAGUGGGAGUAAGGUGACCUCAAGAAUUGCUAGUAAGGAAAAUCGAACCUAAAAUCUUAGGAAUGUGCAAACCGGCCCCUAAGUCUCAGGCUAAGAUUGCCAAGACAACCCAAUGGGGUUCUUUGAAUAUGAGUUCCGACAAAACGGGCUUGCAAAUUGCAAUAUAACAAAACUGGGUUUAAUUUCUAAGAUUUGGUGCACCAUAUCUUAGAAAUUGAACAGACUAUUUGUCUCACUCACAACUGGGUUUGCACCAAAACUUUACACAAUUCAAUGGAAAAUAUGUAACAGUUAGCAUGAAACCCACAUUGUAAAUCUAAAGUUUGAUUUAAAAAAAAUGUAAAAAAACUGAAUGAUUUUUUUUUUUUGAUCCGCAAAUGAAUGAUUAAUUCAGGUCAAGUAGUAUGCAAAAUUAUUGUUCAAAACCUUUUCACAAGAUUUUGUCCAGAUGGGUUUGUACAGAAUUACCGUAAUCAACAAUUGAGAGAAAUACCCAUGUACUGCAAGAAGUUUUCAGCCUAAUCUUUGCGGCAAUCAACUCCAAGAGAUUGUAAGCUAGCUAGCCCUGAAUUUGCCAUAUCUUCCCACAGCUUUCUUGAACUUCCACAGUUGAUCGAGAGAGAGAGAGAGAGAGAGAGAGAGAGAGAGAGAGAGAGAGAGAGAGAGAGAAU